rnacentral:rRNA from 1 species
GAUGAACGCUGGCGGCGUGCUUAACACAUGCAAGUCGAACGGAAAGGCCCUGCUUUUGUGGGGUGCUCGAGUGGCGAACGGGUGAGUAACACGUGAGUAACCUGCCCUUGUCUUUGGGGUAACUUCACGAAACUGGGGCUACUACCGGAUAGGAGCUCCUGCUCCGUGGUGGGGGUUGGAAAGUUUCGGCUGUUGGGGCUGGACGCGCGGCUUCUCAGCUUGUUGGUGGGGUAGUGGCUUACCAAGGCUUUGACGGGUAGGCGGCCUGAGAGGGUGGCCGGCCACCAUGCGCCUGCGAUAGGCCCCAGUCUCCUACGGGAGGCAGCAGUGGGGAAUAUUGCACAAUGGGCCCAAGCCUGAUGCAGCAACGCCGCGUGCGGAAUGACGGCCUUCGGGUUGUAAACCGCUUUAGCCUGAGACGAAGCGUGAGUGACGGUAAUGGGUAAAGAAGCACCGGCUAACUACGUG